CGCAGCCGCGGUAAUUCCAGCUCCAAUAGCGUAUAUUAAAGUUGUUGCAGUUAAAAAGCUCGUAGUUGAAUUUCGGGGUUAGCAGGUCGGUCGUGCCAUCGGUAUGAACUGGUCUCGCUGAUCCCUCCCUCUUGACGAACUGUGAUGCCAUUAAUUUGGUGUCGCAGGGAAUCAGGACUGUUACUUUGAAAAAAUUAGAGUGUUUAAAGCAGGCUCACGCUUGAAUACAUUAGCAUGGAAUAAUGAAAUAGGACGUUUGAUCCUAUUUUGUUGGUUUCUAGGAUUGACGUAAUGAUUAAUAGGGAUAGUUGGGGGCAUUAGUAUUCAAUUGUCAGAGGUGAAAUUCUUGGAUUUAUUGAAGACUAACUACUGCGAAAGCAUUUGCCAAGGAUGUUUUCAUUAAUCAAGAACGAAAGUUAGGGGAUCGAAGACGAUCAGAUACCGUCGUAGUCUUAACCAUAAACUAUGCCGACUAGGGAUCGGAUGAUGUUAAUUUUUUAAUGACUCAUUCGGCGCCUUA
rnacentral:misc_RNA from 1 species